rnacentral:rRNA from 2 species
GGUCAAGCGAAUAAGCGCACACGGUGGAUGCCUUGGCGGUCAGAGGCGAUGAAGGACGUGGCAGCCUGCGAAAAGUAUCGGGGAGCUGGCAACAAGCUUUGAUCCGGUAAUGUCCGAAUGGGGAAACCCACCCGCUUGCGGGUAUCCUGCAGUGAAUACAUAGCUGCUGGAAGCGAACCUGGUGAACUGAAAUAUCUAAGUAACCAGAGGAAAAGAAAUCAACCGAGAUUCCGUAAGUAGCGACGAGCGAACGCGGACUAGCCCUUAAGCUGAUUUGGUUCUAGGAAAACGCUCUGGAAAGAGCGGCCAUAGAAGGUGAUAGCCCUGUAUCUGAAAGGGCCAUUUCAGUGAAGACGAGUAGGGCGGGGCACGUGAAACCCUGUCUGAACAUGGGGGGACCAUCCUCCAAGGCUAAAUACUACUGACCGACCGAUAGUGAACCAGUACCGUGAGGGAAAGGCGAAAAGAACCCCGGAGAGGGGAGUGAAAUAGAACCUGAAACCGUGUGCGUACAAGCAGUAGGAGCUCCGCAAGGAGUGACUGCGUACCUUUUGUAUAAUGGGUCAGCGACUUACUGUUCGUGGCAAGCUUAACCGUAUAGGGGAGGCGAAGGGAAACCGAGUCUGAUAAGGGCGCAUAGUCGCGGGCAGUAGACCCGAAACCGGGUGAUCUAGUCAUGCCCAGGGUGAAGGUGCGGUAACACGCACUGGAGGCCCGAACCCACUCCCGUUGCAAAGGUAGGGGAUGAGGUGUGAUUAGGAGUGAAAAGCUAAUCGAACCCGGAGAUAGCUGGUUCUCCUCGAAAGCUAUUUAGGUAGCGCCUCAUAUGUAUCCUCUCGGGGGUAGAGCACUGUUAUGGCUAGGGGGUCAUCGCGACUUACCAAACCAUUGCAAACUCCGAAUACCGAGACGGACUGUAUGGGAGACACACGGCGGGUGCUAACGUCCGUCGUGAAAAGGGAAACAACCCAGACCCACAGCUAAGGUCCCAAAUUCACUGCUAAGUGGAAAACCAUGUGGAAAGGCACAGACAGCCAGGAGGUUGGCUUAGAAGCAGCCACCCUUUAAAGAAAGCGUAAUAGCUCACUGGUCGAGUCGGUCUGCGGGGAAGAUUUAACGGGGCUAAGCAGUGAACCGAAGCUUGGGGUGCAUAACUUUGUUAUGCGCGGUAGAGGAGCGUUCCGUAAGCCGUUGAAGGUGGAUUGAGAAGUCUGCUGGAGGUAUCGGAAGUGCGAAUGCUGACAUGAGUAACGAUAAUGCGGGUGAAAAACCCGCACGCCGAAAGCCCAAGGUUUCCUUGCGCAACGUUAAUCGGCGCAGGGUGAGUCGGCCCCUAAGGCGAGGACGAAAGUCGUAGUCGAUGGGAAGCAGGUUAAUAUUCCUGCACCUCGCGUAAGUGCGAUGGAGGGACGGAGAAGGUUAGGUGUACCAGGCGUUGGUUGUCCUGGGGAAAGGCGGUAGGUUUGGAUCUUUGGCAAAUCCGGGAUCCUUCAAGACCGAGCACCGAGACGAGCCUUUAAGGCGAAGUCACUGAUACCACGCUUCCAGGAAAAGCUCCUAAGCUUCAGCUUACGCAGACCGUACCGUAAACCGACACAGGUGGGUAGGAUGAGAAUUCUCAGGCGCUUGAGAGAACUCGGGUGAAGGAACUAGGCAACAUGGCACCGUAACUUCGGGAGAAGGUGCACCCUUUUUGGUGGCUCGUGCGAGCUAUAGCUGAAGAGGGUCGCAGUAACCAGGCCGCUGCGACUGUUUAUCAAAAACACAGCACUCUGCAAACACGAAAGUGGACGUAUAGGGUGUGACGCCUGCCCGGUGCUGGAAGGUUAAUUGAUGGGGUCAGCCGCAAGGCGAAGCUCUUGAUCGAAGCCCCAGUAAACGGCGGCCGUAACUAUAACGGUCCUAAGGUAGCGAAAUUCCUUGUCGGGUAAGUUCCGACCUGCACGAAUGGCGUAACGACAGCGGCGCUGUCUCCACCCGAGACUCAGUGAAAUUGAAAUCGCUGUGAAGAUGCAGCGUUCCCGUGGCAAGACGGAAAGACCCCGUGAACCUUUACUAUAGCUUUACACUGAACGUUGAGUUCGUCUGUGUAGGAUAGGUGGGAGGCUAUGAAACUGUGGCGCUAGCUGCAGCGGAGCCAUCCUUGAAAUACCACCCUGUCGUGCUUGACGUUCUAACCUGGGCCCAUUAUCUGGGUCGGGGACCGUGUAUGGUGGGUAGUUUGACUGGGGCGGUCUCCUCCUAAAGAGUAACGGAGGAGCUCGAAGGUACGCUCAGCGCGGUCGGACAUCGCGCACUGUGUGCAAAGGCAUAAGCGUGCUUGACUGCAAGAUCGACGGAUCAAGCAGGUAGGAAACUAGGACUUAGUGAUCCGGUGGUUCUGUAUGGAAGGGCCAUCGCUCAACGGAUAAAAGGUACUCCGGGGAUAACAGGCUGAUACCGCCCAAGAGUUCAUAUCGACGGCGGUGUUUGGCACCUCGAUGUCGGCUCAUCACAUCCUGGGGCUGUAGUCGGUCCCAAGGGUAUGGCUGUUCGCCAUUUAAAGUGGUACGCGAGCUGGGUUCAGAACGUCGUGAGACAGUUCGGUCCCUAUCUGCCAUGGGCGUUGGAGAUUUGAGAGGGGCUGCUCCUAGUACGAGAGGACCGGAGUGGACGAACCUCUGGUGUUCCGGUUGUCACGCCAGUGGCAUUGCCGGGUAGCUAUGUUCGGAAGCGAUAACCGCUGAAAGCAUCUAAGCGGGAAGCGCGCCUCAAGAUGAGAUCUCCCGGGGCACAAGCCCCCUGAAGGAACCAUGUAGACUACGUGGUUGAUAGGUCAGGUGUGUAAGUACAGCAAUGUAUUGAGCUAACUGAUACUAAUGAUCCGAGAGGCUUGACCAU